rnacentral:lncRNA from 1 species
UGUGGGUGUUCACUACAGGCCACCUGAUCAGGAAGAGGAAGUUGAUGAGGCCUUCUACAGACAGCUGGAAGUAGCCUCACGAUCCCAGGCCCUGGUUCUCAUGGGGGGCUUCAACCACCCUGAUAUCUGCUGGAAAGACAACACAGCUAGGCACAAACAGUCCCGGAGGUUCCUGCAGAGCAUUGGUGACAACUUCUUGACACAGGUGGAGGAGCCAACAAGGAGAGGUGUGCUGCUGGACCUCGUACUAACAAAUAAAGAAGGACUGGUGGAAGAUGUGAAGGUCGGGGGCUGCCUUGGCUGCAGUGACCAUGAGAUGGUGGAGUUCAGGAUCCUGCAAGGAGGCAGCAGGGCACCAAGUAGGAUCGCAACCCUGGACUUCAGGAGAGCAAACUUUGGCCUCUUCAGGGACCUACUUGGAGGAAUGCCAUGGGUUAGGGCCCUAGAAGGAAGGGGCGUUCAAGAGAGCUGGUUAAUAUUCAAACAUCACUUCCUCCAGGCUCAAGAGCGGUGCAUCCCUAUGAGUAGGAAGUCAAGCAAAGGAGGCAGGAGACCUGCAUGGAUGAGCAAGGAGCUCCUGGCAAAACUCAGCCAGAAGAAGGAAGUAUACAGAAAGUGGAAAGGGGGACAGGCCACUUGGGAGGAAUAUAGGAACAUUGUCAGAGUAUGCAGGGAUGCGACAAGGAAGGCUAAGGCCCGUUUGGAAUUAAAUCUGGCAAGAGAUGUCAAGGACAGCAAGAAGGCCUUCUUCAAAUACAUCAGUAGCAAGAGGAAGACUAGGGAAAAUGUGGGCCCUUUGCUGAAUGGGGUGGGUGCCCUGGUGACAAAGGAUGCAGAGAAGGCAGAGUUACUGAAUGCCUUCUUUGCUUCAGUCUUUACUGCUCAGGCCAGCCCUCAGGAACCCCAGAUCCUGGAGGCAAGAGAGAAAGUCUGGAGAAAGGAAGACUUUCCCUUGGUGGAGGAGGAGUGGGUUAGAGAUCAUUUAAGCAAACCUGACACCCACAAAUCCACGGGCCCUGAUGGGAUGCACCCACGAGUGCUGAGGGAGCUGGUGGAUGUCAU